rnacentral:tRNA from 1 species
GGGCCUAGCUCAGGGGUAGAGCAUCUGCUUUGCAUGCAGAAGGUCGCAGGUUCAAUUCCUGGCAUCUCCC